UACGAGGGGUGCAAACGUUAUUCGGAUUUAUUGGGUGUAAAGGGCGCGUAGACGGCGCGUUAAGUUUGUUGUUAAAUCUCUUGGCCUAACUGAGAGUUUGCAAUGAAAACUGGCGUGCUAGAGUGUGGAAGAGAGAAGUGGAAUUCUCGGAGUAGUGGUAAAAUGCGUAGAUCUCGAGAGGAACACCGAUGGCGAAGGCAGCUUCUUGGUCCACUACUGACGUUGAGGCGCGAAAGCGUGGGGAGCAAACAGG
rnacentral:rRNA from 1 species